rnacentral:rRNA from 1 species
ACGAACGCUGGCGGCGUGCUUAACACAUGCAAGUCGCACGCGCCUGUCCUCUGGGUUUCUGGGGGGUGGGUGAGUGGCGAACGGGUGAGUAACACGUGAGUAACCUGCCCCCUUCUUCGGGAUAACGGUCUGAAAGGGCUGCUAAUACCGGGUAUUCACUGGUCUCCGCAUGGGGUCUGGUGGAAAGGUUUUUUUCUGGUGGGGGAUGGGCUCGCGGCCUAUCAGCUUGUUGGUGGGGUGAUGGCCCACCAAGGCUUUGACGGGUAGCCGGCCUGAGAGGGUGACCGGUCACAUUGGGACUGAGAUACGGCCCAGACUCCUACGGGAGGCAGCAGUGGGGAAUAUUGCACAAUGGGCGCAAGCCUGAUGCAGCGACGCCGCGUGAGGGAUGGAGGCCUUCGGGUUGUGAACCUCUUUCGCCCGUGGUCAAGCCGCGACGUGGGUCGUGGUGAGGGUAGUGGGUAAAGAAGCGCCGGCUAACUACGUG